UCUAGUGCAGUCUCCCUGGAUCAGUUCAACGUCUACUCUCUCCACUGCCCCUUUAUACAUCAGUAUGGAACACGGACAUGUUUAGAUGACGAGCAUAUGGUGAUGUCUUUAUACACUGGUAUUACCAUCUUUCCCGCAAAUGACUGCAAUGGCCUCUUAACCUUAUCUUGACUUCUCUUCCCUGCCUUUUCCAAAUCUCUUGGUACCACACUUAUGUCAUCCUAUUAUACCUGUGGAAAUUGGUAUAUACCUCAGCAAAAAGUGAGCUGCAAAUUCCUCUCAUCCCUGUACACAUCAUUUUUUGCAAUGUGACUGUGCUGCCUCUGCCAUCAAAAGGUAGUCUAUUUCUUCACUUCCCUGGGUCUGGGCUGGCUUAACGACUUGCUCUAACCAACAGAUGUCAGGUGAAGUGACAACAUGGACUUCUGAACCGAGGCCUCUAAGACCACAUGGCACAGGAGGACUUCUAGGCACAGGAGGAUGAAAGUGUCUGAAGUCCUCUCUACUGAGCCACCUAGACCAACUGGUGAACAGCAUCACCACCUGGACGACAUAGGAGAAACACAAUCUUAGUUCACUUAAACCCAUCAAGCCUUCAGGUGACUACGAAGCGGGAGUCACUCCAAGCAAAUCCAGUGAAGAAGCCCAAGAUGACCUAAUCCAAAGAAUUGUCAUUAAUGGUUGUGGUUUUAAAGCCACUAAAUUUGGGGAUCUAAUCCUGGAUUUCACACUGCAAUUCGUUCUCAUGUUUCCUUGUGCUCUUCCAAUCUGAGAUACAACCGUGUGCAUAAACAGACUAGUCACCUCUGAGACUGCAGCCUUGAGAAUUCUUCAGGUCCAGAAGUUGAAUCUUGACUAUCAACCUGACCAGGAUCAUUCAAUGACUAAAGAUAGGAACGAACUACAUGGACCAAUUAUGGCCAAUGAGGUAUGAGAGGAAAUACGUGGAGGGUUUAUGGACUUCCCUUCGUUCUUCCAGGGACAUAUACCAAAACAUUACUGUUUCCAGUUUGAGGGCACUGUUGUGUAAGCAUGUGAUACUUAGCAUCAAAGCCAUCCUGAGACCACACGUGGUCAAUCUUAUGACCCCAAACUAUCACCCUGGGAAGAGCAGAGCAUAUGAAUGUAAUGAGCCCACCAUGUCUUUGGUGAUAUUAAACUGCUAAAAUAAGCACACAA